UACAGAGGGUGCGAGCGUUAAUCGGAAUUACUGGGCGUAAAGCGCGCGUAGGCGGCUUUGCAAGUCGGGUGUGAAAUCCCCAGGCUUAACCUGGGUACUGCAUUCGAGACUGCAUUGCUAGAGUAUGGGAGAGGGAAGUGGAAUUUCCGGUGUAGCGGUGAAAUGCGUAGAUAUCGGAAGGAACAUCAGUGGCGAAAGCGACUUCCUGGACCAAUACUGACGCUCAUGUGCGAAAGCGUGGGGAGCAAACAGG
rnacentral:rRNA from 1 species